rnacentral:misc_RNA from 1 species
GCCACAGAUUACUCAAGU